GUGCGGUGGACACGCGGCGCCGCGAGUUCGGCGUCGAUCGUCGAUAAGAACUCCGGAGGCGACUGUCCGAUAACCCGUUUCAGCGGAGAUUGUGCGGCAACCCGUUCCGAUGUUUCGAGCCACGAGACGCGGUGAUAGCGAGCACGAUGACGUAACAAAGUGACGAAAAGCUUUGCUUUUCAAUGUGGCUAGGCGCACAGGUGGACAGGAGGCAGUUUCAAUGGCUUCGACAUUUCAUUUGCAAGUAUGUAACAUUUGCCACCGACUGGGAAGAGAAGAGUCAGAUCGUUGAAAGAUUACCGACCAGCCGUUCCUCGCGAUCGCUGACAAUAAUGCAAACUGAUUGACGUAUUACAAUGUUUUAUUGCUGCGUACUCGUGAUUUACAUGCGGCAAGAAAAGUAACGGGAGAGUAACAGUUUACGAAUCAAAAAGAACGAAAGAGAGAGAGAGAGAGAGAGAAAAAAGAAAGCGAAACAGCGCGUAUACGCGGAUUUCCAUUUCGUGGAAACUAUGUGGGGGAGAGAUACGUAUUAUUAAUAAAUAAACAAGUCAACGCAAUGUUUCAGUAAUAAAAAUUCAUAAUUCCUCUUCAAUUUCAAUAAACGUCACGUAAUACAUUUGUCCUCCUUCUUUGUACCAUAGCAUAUGUAUAUACUUCUUUUUUUUUUUGUUUGUUUUUUUUUUUUUUUUUUUUUUUUUUUUUUUUUUUUUU